UAGGGAAUUUUCGUCAAUGGGGGGAACCCUGAACGAGCAAUGCCGCGUGAGUGAAGAAGGUCUUCGGAUCGUAAAGCUCUGUUGUAAGUGAAGAACGGUCAGUAGAGGAAAUGAUACUGAAGUGACGGUAGCUUACCAGAAAGCCACGGCUAACUACGUGCCAGCAGCCGCGGUAAUACGUAGGUGGCGAGCGUUAUCCGGAAUCAUUGGGCGUAAAGGGUGCGCAGGUGGUACAUUAAGUCCGAAGUAAAAGGCAGCAGCUCAACUGCUGUUGGCUUUGGAAACUGGUGAACUGGAGUGCAGGAGAGGGCGAUGGAAUUCCAUGUGUAGCGGUAAAAUGCGUAGAUAUAUGGAGGAACACCAGUGGCGAAGGCGGUCGCCUGGCCUGCAACUGACACUGAGGCACGAAAGCGUGGGGAGCAAAUA
rnacentral:rRNA from 1 species